rnacentral:rRNA from 1 species
CCUACGGGAGGCAGCAGUAGGGAAUCUUCCACAAUGGGUGCAAACCUGAUGGAGCAAUGCCGCGUGAAUGAAGAAGGUCUUCGGAUCGUAAAGUUCUGUUAUUAGAGAAGCGGUACCUAACCAGAAAGUCACGGCUAACUACGUGCCAGCAGCCGCGGUAAUACGUAGGUGACAAGCGUUGUCCGGAAUUAUUGGGCGUAAAGGGAGCGCAGGCGGUUGGAAUAGUCUGAUGUGAAAGCCCACGGCUUAACCGUGGAAGGUCAUUGGAAACUGUCCAACUUGAAUGCAGAAGAGGUAAGUGGAAUUCCAUGUGUAGCGGUGAAAUGCGUAGAUAUAUGGAGGAACACCAGUGGCGAAGGCGACUUACUGGUCUGUAUGACGCUGAGGCUCGAAAGCGUGGGUAGCGAACAGGAUUAGAUACCCUUGUAGUC